UUUAUCUGUUUUAUAUAAACUUAGAAUUAAGUUAUAUCUUCAUUUUUUGAAAGAUGUAUUAUAUUAUAGUUUAAUAAAUUUAUUAUAAUUAACUAUUUAAUUAGUAUUUAAUUAUAUAAAUAGAAUUAAAUGUAACUUUGAGACCAUAACAAAAUAACAAGGAAAAACAUACUUCAUAAAACUAUUUAAUUAUAUAAAUAGAAUUAGUUUGAUUUAAUAGUUCUAUUAACAUAAUUAGUAUUAUGUUAAUAGAAUUAGUUUGAAAUUAUUAGUAAAUAUAAAGGUGCAAAUAUUAGUAUCACCACUGAUUGAAAAUCUUGUAUGCACAGUAAAAAUGGAUAAUUUUGCAAAAAAAAAUUGACAUUUUUUUUUGGUUUAGGUCUGUAAAAACCUGCUUUAAACCUUUAUUAUAGUUAACCCUAUAUUGCAUCUUGUUGCAUUUUUGCAACAAUACUUAAAAUGAUGACUUUUUAUGUUUUCUUUGGGAUUUUUCUAUAAUUUUUUGUUUCGCUAUAUUCCCGUAGUGGUUUUUUUACAAAACCAACACAGGAAAUCAUUUGUGUUGAACUUUAUUUGAUCUCAUUUCACAUUUUAACAAGCAUUGCGCUGUCAAACCUGCAAGUAUACUUUGAAUGAAUUAUUAUAUUAAGUAUUAAGUUUAAAAAAUUUAAACACAUUUAAAAAAUAUUUUCUAGAAGUUGAAUCAUAUAUCAAGACUAUUCAAUUAUGUAACAUUUCCUAAUAUUUCUCUCGGCUCUGUUUUUGUAUGUUGCAAAAUUGCAACAACAUGCCAUCACGAUUAAAAUCUUGAUGUUUUUUUUCUAGAUUAGAUCUACUCGCAUUAGAGUAAUAGUAAUAAGCCUACCUCUUUUUUAUGCAAAUACCUCUUUUCUAUGCAAAUACCGCUUUUCUAUGUAUUUGCUUGUUACUUUUAAAACAUGAUAGAGUUUUAAUUAAAGUAUUUAAUACAUGAUAGAGUUUUAAUUAAAGUAAGCUAUGCUGAUACCCGGUAGGAAAAAAAUAGUUAGAUUAUACAAAGCGUGUUUAAAAUGUCUAAAACAUGUAUUACUACGUAUUUUAUAUGUCUUAAAUGCACCUUUAAACGUGUUUAUUAUUUAUACUUUUUUUAUAUAAAUGUAAAAUGUAUGAUAAUAAUAAAUAUAGUUUAUGGUAAAAGUAUGAUAGUAAUAUUUAUAGUUUAUGUGAAAAAUCAGUCUAAGGUACUUUAUUCGUUUCUUAUGUUGGAUUAAAUUAUGGACCCAAAGACCUUCAAUGGAAAAAAAAGAGCUAAUGCUGUGAGGCAAAUACCUUCUUACUCUCACGACUCAGAGCUGUCAGACAAAGAUGCUCCAUUUGAUGAAGAUACCGGCAUCCAAGAUAAGGAAUCCAUACUCAAAGAGAACUACCAAAAUCUGACGUUGAAGAAGAGACUAACGAUGACUUAAAGGAACAGGAAUAGCUACACAGUUCAAGUUGAGGACUCCUUUGAAAGGUGUUAUAUACCAAAGAUUGACAACCAAAGUGCCCCAAUUCACUUGUCAAGUAAGACAUGGAUGCUUGCUAAGACAACCAUAUGAUUAUUUCAGAGACAUUGUUACAGAUAAUGUUUCUAUUUCAGAGACAUUUUUACAGAUGUUUUGGAAGAAAUGGUACACGAAUCCAAUGUAUACAAUGCACAAAAAAUUAUAAAUAACUUGCUAUGUUUGACAAAGGUAGAACUAUAAAAUUUUUUAGGAAUUGUUUUUUAUAUGCGCACUAUAAAAAUUCCUCGGUGCAGAAUGUAUUGAUGCCCUUCAACCAAAAUUAAACCUGUAACAGAGACUGUGAUCAUCAAUAGGUUUGAGUGUAUCAAAAAUGAUUUACAUUUUGACAACAAUGAAAAUGCCACCAAUUAAUUAGAUAAAGUUAGGAUUGUUUUUGAUUCACUUGAAAACAGUUUCCAAAACAUUGUGUCAUUUGAACUGCUGAGUGUUGGUGAGCAGAAAGUACCAUUUUAAGGUAGAAGUAGCCUAAAGCACAUACAAUCCCAAAAACCAAAGAAGUGGGGUUACAAAAUAAUUGUGUUUUGUGAUAACAAAAGCUUCAUCCAUAAUUUAGAAAUAUAUAAUGGUAAAGUUCACCCCUGUCCAGGAAAACCAGAUAUAGGAGCUUCUGGAAACAUGGUUCUGAGACUAUUGCAAGACAUUCCUAGGGAUGUCUGGCACAAAGUUUACUUUGAUAACUGGUUCACCUCCAUUCCAUUGCAAGUAACUCUGCACAAACAAGGAAUAACAGUGCAAGCAAAUCAUUUGAAAGGAUGUUUAUUCCCAACAGACAAAGAGCUUACUAGAUCUGGAAGAGGUACAGCAAUUUUAAAAACAACCUCAUAUGAUGGUGUUCAGCUAAAUGCUGUAAAAUGGGUGGACAAUAAAUCCUGCUGAUCCUGCUCAGUAGCUAUGCAGGUGUCCUACCUACAAAAGAAGCUUCCAUAAUUCUUUUAUGGGUGGUGUUGACUUGUUAGAUUCAUUGGUGGCUCUGUACAGAAACCCUAUUCGAUCAAAGAAGUGG